AACGACUCAAGAGGGAAAAUUGAUAGUACGGCCAAAAUAUUGAAAAGGAGCCCAAGCCAAGCCCACUCCAAGGAGUGGUAUUUUGGGAACCUAGGUUCUCAUUUUGGGAUUGGAUCUGAUUUGUCACUCUGUACUCGCUUCUCUCUCUCUGCGAUGAUCAAGUCAAACAACUUCAUGGAAGGAGUGUUUCACAAGAUUAGAAGGCCUAACCCAUGGGAAGCAGGAAACUAUAUCAAUUGCUAUGUAGCCAAGCUUUGAAGUUUUUCAAGGGAAGAAGUUGGUUGACUGAGAUUUGGGUGCUGGUGGGAGGGAUAGGAGGAAUUCUCUGAAAGGGUUAGUGAAUUAGCAUGGGGAGACACCAAGAUGGAACAAUCACAAGCAAGGAACAGGCUCAAACUUCUCCAGUUAUGUGAUUUCAACUAAAUAGCAAGACUCUAAGAUUGUUCCAAGAAGUGUGAAGUGUUGAGAGCUUGGGUCUCUUGAAGAUAGACUGAUUAGUUAGUUUUGUGAAAUAAUGAGAUACAUACAGAAUCUCUACCCUGGGUCAUUACUUUCAUUCACAUGUUUUAUUUUUUCCCAUAUAACAUAUGGUUGUAAAUUUGUAACAGUAUCUUUCUUUUCUUUGAAUAAAAAUAUGUAUUUUUUUUUUGUGUAAA